GACGAACGCUGGCGGCGUGCUUAACACAUGCAAGUCGAACGGUGAAGCCCUUCGGGGUGGAUCAGUAGCGAACGGGUGAGUAACACGUGAGCAACCUGCCCCUGUCUCUGGGACAACCACUGGAAACGGUGGCUAAUACCGGAUACGACCCGCCUCGGCAUCGAGUGUGGGUGGAAAGUUUUUCGGCUGGGGAUGGGCUCGCGGCCUAUCAGCUUGUUGGUGAGGUGAAGGCUCACCAAGGCGACGACGGGUAGCCGGCCUGAGAGGGCGACCGGCCACACUGGGACUGAGACACGGCCCAGACUCCUACGGGAGGCAGCAGUGGGGAAUAUUGCACAAUGGGCGAAAGCCUGAUGCAGCGACGCCGCGUGAGGGAUGACGGCCUUCGGGUUGUAAACCUCUUUCAGCUCCGAAGAAGCGAAAGUGACGGUAGGAGCAGAAGAAGCACCGGCUAACUACGUG
rnacentral:rRNA from 1 species